GACGAACGCUGGCGGCGUGCUUAACACAUGCAAGUCGAGCGGAGAAUAUAGCAAUAUAUUCUUAGCGGCGGACGGGUGAGUAACGCGUGGGCAAUCUGCCUCAUACAGGGGGAUAACACUGGGAAACUAGUGCUAAUACCGCAUAAAAUAAUGAAGUGGCAUCACUUUAUUAUCAAAGGAGAAAUCCGGUGUGAGAUGAGCCCGCGUCCGAUUAGCUAGUUGGAGGGGUAACGGCCCACCAAGGCGACGAUCGGUGGCCGAACUGAGAGGUUGAUCGGCCACAUUGGGACUGAGACACGGCCCAGACUCCUACGGGAGGCAGCAGUGGGGAAUAUUGCGCAAUGGGGGAAACCCUGACGCAGCAACGCCGCGUGAAGGAUGAAGGUUUUCGGAUUGUAAACUUCUUUGAUUGGGGAAGAUAAUGACGGUACCCAAAAAACAAGCCACGGCUAACUACGUGCCAGCAGCCGCCGUAA
rnacentral:rRNA from 1 species